GCGGGUGUAGUUCAAUGGUAGAACUUCAGCUUCCCAAGUUGACAGCGCGGGUUCGAUUCCCGUCACCCGCUCCA
rnacentral:tRNA from 1 species